rnacentral:rRNA from 2 species
CUCCGUGAUGAUAGCGAGGAGGUCACACCUCUUCCCAUCUCGAACAGAGCAGUUAAGCUCCUCAGCGCCGAUGAUAGUUGGACCGCAAGGUCCUGCAAAAGUAGGUCGUCGCGGGGA